rnacentral:rRNA from 1 species
UACGAAGGGGGCUAGCGUUGCUCGGAAUUACUGGGCGUAAAGCGCACGUAGGCGGCUUGUUAAGUCGGGGGUGAAAUCCUGGAGCUCAACUCCAGAACUGCCUUUGAUACUGAAGAUCUUGAGUUCGGGAGAGGUGAGUGGAACUGCGGGUGUAGAGGUGAAAUUCGUAGAUAUUCGCAAGAACACCAGUGGCGAAGGCGGGCAUCUGGGCCAACACUGACGCUGAGGCGCGAAAGCUAGGGGAGCAAACAGG